UACGUAGGGUGCAAGCGUUGUCCGGAAUUAUUGGGCGUAAAGAGCUUGUAGGCGGUUUGUCGCGUCUGCUGUGAAAUUUCGGGGCUCAACCCCGAACUUGCAGUGGGUACGGGCAGACUAGAGUGUGGUAGGGGGAGACUGGAAUUCCUGGUGUAGCGGUGAAAUGCGCAGAUAUCAGGAGGAACACCGAUGGCGAAGGCAGGUCUCUGGGCCAUAACUGACGCUGAGAAGCGAAAGCAUGGGGAGCAAACGGG
rnacentral:rRNA from 1 species